rnacentral:lncRNA from 1 species
CCAUCGUACUCAGCGCAUCAGAUCCUCCCUUAUCUUCCUUCUUAUUCUUUCACUGCGGGCAAUCUCAUUUGAAGUGCCCAAUCUCGUUGCAUUUGUAGCACCUGACAUCCUUCUUACUCCUACUUUUCCGAGACUUUGAUCGUCCCCUUGACUUGCCUCUUUCCCUUCCUCUUCUAGAUCUCUCCCCCACAGCCAAGCCCUCCUGGAGAGCACCUUCCUUAGUCAACUUCUCUCGCUGUUCAUUGGACUGCAACACCAAGAUCAUGUCUUCAUACUCCAAGGUCUCCUUGCCG